rnacentral:tRNA from 1 species
GCCUGGGUGGCUCAGUCAGUUAAGCGUCUGACUUCAGCCCAGAUCAUGCUCUCGUGGUCCGUGGGUUUGAGCCCCACAUCGGGCU